rnacentral:rRNA from 1 species
CAGCAGCCGCGGGAAUACGUAGGGUGCGAGCGUUAAUCGGAAUUACUGGGCGUAAAGCGUGCGCAGGCGGUUGUGUAAGACAGGUGUGAAAUCACCGGGCUUAACCUGGGAACUGCGCUUGUGACUGCACAGCUAGAGUAUGGCAGAGGGGGGUGGAAUUCCACGUGUAGCAGUGAAAUGCGUAGAGAUGUGGAGGAACACCGAUGGCGAAGGCAGCCCCCCUGGGCCAAUACUGACGCUCACGCACGAAAGCGUGGGGAGCAAACAGGAUUAGAUACCCCGGUAGUCCCUGUCUCUUAUA